UACGUAGGGUGCGAGCGUUAAUCGGAAUUACUGGGCGUAAAGCGUGCGCAGGCGGUGAUGUAAGACAGAUGUGAAAUCCCCGGGCUCAACCUGGGAACUGCAUUUGUGACUGCAUCGCUGGAGUGCGGCAGAGGGGGAUGGAAUUCCGCGUGUAGCAGUGAAAUGCGUAGAUAUGCGGAGGAACACCGAUGGCGAAGGCAGUCCCCUGGACCUGUACUGACGCUCAUGCACGAAAGCGUGGGGAGCAAACAGG
rnacentral:rRNA from 1 species